CAGCAGCCGCGGGAAAACGUAGGGUGCAAGCGUUAAUCGGAAUUACUGGGCGUAAAGCGUGCGCAGGCGGUUAUAUAAGACAGAUGUGAAAUCCCCGGGCUCAACCUGGGAACUGCAUUUGUGACUGUAUAGCUAGAGUACGGCAGAGGGGGAUGGAAUUCCGCGUGUAGCAGUGAAAUGCGUAGAUAUGCGGAGGAACACCGAUGGCGAAGGCAAUCCCCUGGGCCUGUACUGACGCUCAUGCACGAAAGCGUGGGGAGCAAACAGGAUUAGAUACCCGAGUAGUCCCUGUCUCUUAUAC
rnacentral:rRNA from 1 species